rnacentral:rRNA from 1 species
CAGUAGCCACGGUAAUACGUAGGUGGCAAGCGUUGUCCGGAAUUAUUGGGCGUAAAGGGCUCGCAGGCGGUUUCUUAAGUCUGACGUGAAAGCCCCCGGCUCAACCGGGGAGGGUCAUUGGAAACUGGGAAACUUGAGUGCAGAAGAGGAGAGUGGAAUUCCACGUGUAGCGGUGAAAUGCGUAGAGAUGUGGAGGAACACCAGUGGCGAAGGCGACUCUCUGGUCUGUAACUGACGCUGAGGAGCGAAAGCGUGGGGAGCGAACAGGAUUAGAUACCCGUGUAGUCCCUGUCUCUUAUAC